rnacentral:rRNA from 1 species
GCGGCAGGCCUAACACAUGCAAGUCGAACGGUAACAGGAAACAGCUUGCUGUUUCGCUGACGAGUGGCGGACGGGUGAGUAAUGUCUGGGAAACUGCCCGAUGGAGGGGGAUAACUACUGGAAACGGUAGCUAAUACCGCAUAACGUCGCAAGACCAAAGAGGGGGACCUUCGGGCCUCUUGCCAUCGGAUGUGCCCAGAUGGGAUUAGCUAGUUGGUGAGGUAACGGCUCACCAAGGCGACGAUCCCUAGCUGGUCUGAGAGGAUGACCAGCCACACUGGAACUGAGACACGGUCCAGACUCCUACGGGAGGCAGCAGUGGGGAAUAUUGCACAAUGGGCGCAAGCCUGAUGCAGCCAUGCCGCGUGUAUGAAGAAGGCCUUCGGGUUGUAAAGUACUUUCAGCGGGGAGGAAGGGAGUAAAGUUAAUACCUUUGCUCAUUGACGUUACCCGCAGAAGAAGCACCGGCUAACUCCGUGCCAGCAGCCGCGGUAAUACGGAGGGUGCAAGCGUUAAUCGGAAUUACUGGGCGUAAAGCGCACGCAGGCGGUUGAUUAAGUCAGAUGUGAAAUCCCCGGGCUCAACCUGGGAACUGCAUCUGAUACUGGUCAGCUUGAGUCUCGUAGAGGGGGGUAGAAUUCCAGGUGUAGCGGUGAAAUGCGUAGAGAUCUGGAGGAAUACCGGUGGCGAAGGCGGCCCCCUGGACGAAGACUGACGCUCAGGUGCGAAAGCGUGGGGAGCAAACAGGAUUAGAUACCCUGGUAGUCCACGCCGUAAACGAUGUCGACUUGGAGGUUGUGCCCUUGAGGCGUGGCUUCCGGAGCUAACGCGUUAAGUCGACCGCCUGGGGAGUACGGCCGCAAGGUUAAAACUCAAAUGAAUUGACGGGGGCCCGCACAAGCGGUGGAGCAUGUGGUUUAAUUCGAUGCAACGCGAAGAACCUUACCUGGUCUUGACAUCCACGGAAGUUUUCAGAGAUGAGAAUGUGCCUUCGGGAACCGUGAGACAGGUGCUGCAUGGCUGUCGUCAGCUCGUGUUGUGAAAUGUUGGGUUAAGUCCCGCAACGAGCGCAACCCUUAUCCUUUGUUGCCAGCGGUUAGGCCGGGAACUCAAAGGAGACUGCCAGUGAUAAACUGGAGGAAGGUGGGGAUGACGUGGAAUCAUCA